rfam:Streptomyces sp. SPB74 genomic scaffold supercont3.1, whole genome shotgun sequence.
CACGGCCCGGCUCCUCCCCCCGGAGUCGGCCGUGAAGACGACCCCCGCCCUCCCCCCCCGGCGGGGGUCGUCGCAU